UACGUAGGGUGCAAGCGUUGUCCGGAAUUACUGGGCGUAAAGAGCUCGUAGGCGGUUUGUUGCGUCGGCUGUGAAAUCCCGAGGCUCAACCUCGGGUCUGCAGUCGAUACGAGCAAACUAGAGUGUUGCAGGGGAGACUGGAAUUCCUGGUGUAGCGGUGAAAUGCGCAGAUAUCAGGAGGAACACCGGUGGCGAAGGCGGGUCUCUGGGCCGAUACUGACGCUGAGGAGCGAAAGCGUGGGGAGCGAACAGG
rnacentral:rRNA from 1 species